rfam:Fusobacterium mortiferum ATCC 9817 genomic scaffold supercont2.2, whole genome shotgun sequence.
UAUUACCAUUUGCUUAAUCUAUUUUUAGGAUAAAAAUAGAGCGGGGGACCCAACCUUCUUGGGGCGUAUUUCUCAAUUGAGAAUAGGAUACUUUUCAAUCCGAGCCCGACAGCUAACCUCGUCAGCGUUGAAAAGAGCCAUG